AUGGGCUCAUUCAUGGCUCCACUAUUGGAAGAAACUCGUGCGGAUCUCUGCUCCGCACUGCGCGGCAUCCGGCACGCGCCGGUGGCCCAAGUGAUCUGGAUCCAACAGGAACGCACUUCAGAAUUCUGUAUCUCGUUCAAGGAACCUCGGCCAGCUGGUAGUUACGCCCCGAAAGUCGAGGAUAUAUUGGUGCUCACAAGUCGGAAACCGACCCGCCACAUAGACUUGGACCCAUUUGUCAUAGCUGUAGUGCCUCCAUCCGAAGAUAUGGUAGACACUGGCACAACAAUAUUAAUAAGGCUGCUGUCGGGUAAACUACCUGUCAAACGACAAGGUCAAAAAGAAGUGAUCGCAUUGCCUCUUUUUGCAGUCUUUCUUAUCAAUAUGAAGACCAACAAUCAUAUACAUGAUGCACUGGAACUGAAAGCCGGCAUCCUUAGCCGUUGGGGCAGUAGCCUCGUAGAGAGGAUUGCAGAGUAUGCUCCAACUUCAGGGUUAGCGUCAGAUAAGGCGCUGGAUGGCCUUGAAAAAUUCAAGCUCAACACCUCACAGCAGAAGGCGGUACUUGAUUGUGUUUCAGCAAUGGAUGAAGCUAGGUGCUGGGUGCGCCUUAUCUGGGGACCACCUGGAACAGGGAAAACCAAGGCCAUCAUAUCUCUCUUGUGGUCAAUGCUGAAGAAAAACCGCAGGACACUAGCUUGCGCUCCGACCAACACGGCGGUUGUGGAGGUUGCCUCCCGUGUCCUCGGUCUUCUCGAGGAUGAGUCCUACGGCGGCGGUGGAAAACACUUCUCCCUGGGCAAUGUCGUGUUGUUUGGCAACGAAGAUCGGAUGAACGUGGAUGAAAACCUUGCAAACAUCUUCUUGGAUUGGCGUGUGUACCGACUUGUGAAUGUGGCGGCGCACUGGAGGCACUAUGUGAAUGGCAUGCUAGAACUUCUUGUGAAGCCGUUGGCCAUGCACUCUUCGUAUCUUAAGGAUGUUCGAUCGGAGCGUACGGGUGAUAUUUUGCGGCUGCAAGGGGUGGGGGAUGCUGAACUAGAGAGGAGGAGGAAGUUGACAUUCAAGGAAUUCUUCAUAGACAAUUACCAAUGUCAUGAGGAAGCACCGCGCCACUGCUUCGAGACUCUCCGCAAUGAUCUUCCCUUACCCGCUAGGAGAUUUGAUUACCUGGAUGAGAUCCUGCGCUCACUCGAAGCUUUCGGGAAACUUCUCCGGUCGGAGCCGGAGCGCCCUCUGGGGAAACUCUUCUUAAAAAACGGGGGGUGGCCAGAGUUCCAAGAAGCAAGAGCAUUGUGUCUUAACAAGCUAAAACACUUGCCCGAUUGGUUUGAUUUGCUUCCAAGCGAUUCAAGCAAAAUCGAAGACUACAUACUGAACAACGCCACGAUCAUACUUUGCACUGCUGCUAGCUCAUUCAAUCUGCGACGUGUCCGUGAUUUCAAGCCGUUUGAGCUCCUUGUUAUCGAUGAGGCGGCGCAGCUGAAGGAGUGUGAGUCGCUGAUACCUCUACAGCUUGGUAUCCACCGUGCUGUUCUUAUCGGUGAUGAAUGCCAGCUACCAGCGCUUGUCAAAAGCAAGCUCAGCGCCGAGGCCGGCUUUGGAAGAAGUCUGUUCGAGAGGCUUUGCUUGCUAGGACACCCGAAGCACCUCCUCGAUGUGCAGUACAGGAUGCACCCGGAAAUAAGCAAGUUCCCCAUCUCAAGUUUUUACUGUAGGAAGGUGACAGAUGGCCCCAACGUCCUUCACAGAGACUACGAGAGGAAGCUCCUGGAUGGCCCAAUGUAUGGCCCCUACUCCUUCAUCAACAUCCAAGGUGGGAUCGAAAGCUCGGGCAUGCAUGGCACAAGCCUGAGCAACGCUGCUGAGGUCGCUGCGGUGACCCGGAUUGUGCAGAGAUUGUCCCAAGUUGACACAAGAAGCAAGCUCAGCGUGGGCGUGGUAUCGCCGUACAAGGCCCAAGUCCGCGCCAUCCAGGAGAGCCUUGCUUUGGAGCACGACAAGUAUUGCGGUUUAUCCGUAAAGAUCCGAACCGUGGACGGGUUCCAGGGUGCCGAGGAGGAUGUCGUCAUCUUCUCCGCCGUGCGGGCCAAUACCCAUGGAUCGGUCGGGUUCCUCUCCGAUCAGAGGCGUACCAACGUGGCGCAAACACGGGCCAAGCAUUGCUUCUGGAUUCUUGGCGACGCGGCUACAUUGUCGAGCAGCAGGACAGUCUGGCAGAAGAUAGUGGCCGAUGCAAAAGAAAGAGGAUGCUUCUAUGAUGGCAACGACGACAAAGACCUCUGUGCUGUGGUGAGUGUCGCGAUCAAGCAGGAUGAAGUCAACCGUCUGCUCAAGAUGGUGGAUGCUCGUCUUGGUAUAUGCAGCUCAUGA
rnacentral:rRNA from 1 species